rnacentral:rRNA from 1 species
UUCUAUGGAGAGUUUGAUCCUGGCUCAGGACGAACGCUGGCGGCGUGCUUUACACAUGCAAGUCGAGCGAUGAGAUCCCUUCGGGGAUGGAUUAGCGGCGAACGGGUGAGGAACACGUGAGGA